rnacentral:lncRNA from 1 species
AAAUAUCACAAUAAAGUUGGUUUAUUUCAGAAAUCGGAGCUGGUGCGUGAUGUUUCUGAUUUCAAUUGUCCUAAAAAAUUAUGUUCACUACUUAUACAACAUUACGUGAUGAUAUGCAAAAAAUGUCGCCAACAUUAGUUAUAUCCCUAUUAUGUUAUCUAGAUAGAUGGAUAAAAUCCUUAUUUUUUAAUCUUUUUGAUGUUAUUUAUUUCUGUAAAGGUCCGUUUCAAAAUUAUGCUUGUUUAAAAAUAUAAUGGGAUGGUAAUGAAAAUGGUCGAGUCUAAUUGAAAAUCUAUUGAAGACAUUGAUAGUGACCAUUGUUAAUUUUGGAUGAACCUAGUAGCAAACAUUUAAAGCUGGUACCUAAGUAGCAAACAUUUAAAGCUGGUCGACUCUAAUUGGAAAUCUAUUGAAGACACUGAUAGUGACCAUUGUUAAUUUUGGAUGAACCUAAAUAGCAAACAUUUAAAGCUGAAAUAUUUUAAACAAUACUAUGAAGACUGGUGGAGUAUGAAUUAAAACUAACAAUUUAGCAUGUGUUCAAUUAUGAGAAAAAAUCUGGUUGUUUGAAUAACGUUAGUGGUACACUUUUAAUUAUAAAAACUUUGUUUAACAUAGUACUACUAGCAGAAACAUCGGCUAUAUAAACUACUUGCAGCACAUCUUCUGGAACUAUAUACAUACUACUCUUAAAUAUAAUCUUAGCGCCUAUUAACCUUUCUAUACACACGCCAGAAACUGUAACACUUAUAGCCGCGUCGGUUUGUGGGACCGUCAUUUUCAAAGUAAUUAUAAUGUGUUUUAAUAAAUUAAAAAAUAAAAUCAUAUCAAUGUUUAGCAAAUAUUUUGCUUCACAAAAUAAACAAAAGUGUAACGUAGUCUAACUA